rnacentral:misc_RNA from 1 species
GGAACAUAUAAAAUGAAAAGGCAAAUAGCCAUAAGUCUAAUUAUAUAAUGGCAGGCACAUUUAUCUCAUAACAAAAAGCUCAUGUGAUAAUAUAUGAAUAGAAGUUAUAAUAUCACACCGUUCCAAGCUUGGGUAAGCUUAUCCCAUCAGAAUCACCAAAUUCACCAGGUCAUCAAAGGAAAUAAGUAUACAAGAAUAGCUAAUUCAACAAACUAAAAUACAUUAUUUUCACAAUUUCCAUUUAAUUUACACUGAUUUCCACCACUAAAUCAGAAGCUACGAGAUUCAUUACUACCAAUAUUAUAAAUCAAGCAUCAUUACUCAAAUUUAGCACGUAUAUUUCAUUUAAUUUUCUCUGCAGACUUUGAAGAUCCAUUUUGGUAGAAUGAGGAACUAAUUAUCCCUGCAAUUUUAAUUUGAUACAGAAUUCUCAGGUGUUCAAGGACACCUGUCCCACAAAAACGAUUUUGUAAGUGUAAGACAUACAAAUAUAGACAUGCUAUUGCAUGUAGAAAUAUCACCAAAAAUUGAUAAGAGAUGCUCGUACACUUAUAGUGAAACUACAGCAAAAUCUUUACUGCCUACGUGAAUUAAGAGAAGCAACCACAGGUCUAAAUGUCUCAUCCACAGCUUUGUUCCACAUAAGUUCAAACUGCGAGCGAAAUUGCUUUCCGAAUAUAGGCUCUCUCAACUGCAAGAAGUUCAAAGUUUUUAGUAUUAGUACUCCAUGCCAUGCACAGCAAAAUGACGAAGUUUUAACAUCUCAUUGCAAUUUCAAGAUUGAUAAUGAAGUUCUGGUUUCCAGAACCAUGUCAAAACUGAUGAUAAAGUUAAUAAUGAAAUUAUUAACUGCAUGAUUGACCAUAGAUUUAAUGGUUUUCCAGUACUGUGCCUAAAACUGACACUAAAGGCUCACGUCACACAACUUGAAAAUAUAUGAAGUAGAAAUCACGAAAGAGCAUUUAAAUACAAAAAUUAAAAGUUGCCAACAUCUUUUAAUCAAAUGAAGAAAAACACCAGUCAGGUUUUCUUUGUCCGUGCAUAGGGUUCUAAUUAUUUCUUUUCCUCUCCUGGUUAACAAACACAGAACAAGACUACAGGUUGAAGUUCUUUUUGGAGGUAACGAUUGCUUAAGUCUUCUCUAUUUUUAAGCUUUCUCUUACUUUGUUAAGCAUGACAGUGAGUUUCAUAACAUGAUUUCUCAAUCUUACUAAUUCCGCUUAUUUUUUUUUUCUUCCAAAAUUCGUUUUAUCUCUUGAGUUCCUUUUUUUUUUUCCUUUUUAUUAUUUUUUUUUCCCUCAGCUGAUAUUGGUACUCCCAUUCUUUAAUUGCUUCACCCCUCAACACCAUUGCUGCUACCGGCAUCACUAAAGCUAGCUCAUUCUUAUUUCCAAAUUUUGAAAAUAACUACAAGAAACAAGUAAAAAGGGCCCAGUUCACUAAAAGGCAAAUACUUUUGCCAUAGAUUUCUAAUUGUUCACAAAAUCAUCAGAAGGGCUGAGUUGGACAUCUUCGCAUUAAAGAUCAUGAAAGCAAUCGAACUAUCUCUAGCAAUAACCUUCCCCUUCUGACUUACUUAAAAGUAAGAUUCUAGGAUUUUGAUCAAUUAUAUUUAGAGCAUAAUUUCACUUCAACAUGCAUUCAACUUAAGCAUUUAUGUAUGCACCACUCAAUAAAACAAAAUGACUCAACAACACAAACCAACUACCAAAAUGCUUCUUAACAUUAUCCACACUAAGGCAUUGUUAUGGAAACUGGUGUUAUUUUGAACUUUGAAUUUCAAUCCACCAAUCUGUUACAACUAAUGGGGUAUUUGGUACGAGGUUAAUUACCUUGUAUAUGUAACACAUACUUUCAUUUAAUUUUUUUAUUAAUCUCCUAAUAAACCCAAUUAUUAAUUACACCAUUAAUUAUUUUUCAAUCCCUUAACAAUUACUCCUUUAAAAUUUAUAGGACUAACAUUUAACCUUUAAUUUUUUAACCU